UCCUUCUCACCCUCUCCCCCCUUCUAGAAUCUCCCCUUCUCGCUAACGCGCGGCGGCCGGAGUCCCAGAUGACCGCCCCCUUCCAAUGUGUCCUCCGUGGGGCGUAGAGAGAACCAGAGGAAAGAACUGAGUCAGGAGGUUGAGACAGAGCGUGGACUCCGAUGGCCCCUCUGGCCUCCCCCAACAGCCUCCAGCCUCGCCCAGAACACUACCAAGCCCGGAAGGGCCGGGGGUCGGGGAGGGGACGCCCCGCACAGGUACCUAAAUAGAGCUGAUCCUUGAACAAUGCAGGGAUUGAGGCACAGAACCCGAUGGGGAGCUCUGGCAGAAUGUUCUGGCCUGUGUGCAAUGACUCCGUUCUCUCUGCCAAGGGAUAGAGCUAAAAUCUGCUUUCUUGGAAACGAGCUAAUGUCUUUAGGAAGCAUGACCCUAGUUAGGGAGAGAUUGGGAUCUUUGAAUAAAGGGGUGGGUAAGAAAAUCAUGUUCAGCGUCCACUGGCACAGUGACUCACAAGGAUAUUAGGAUCUGAAUACUAAAAAAAUGAUUUAAAAAUGGAAUCUUCGGUCUUGAGACAUAACCUCACACAGACGACUACGCUGGUCUUCUUUGAGUCUUAGAUAACUCUCAGAGCGUUUUCAACAAUCUGUGGAGGAGGCAACAAACCUAGCUCACAUUUCCACGGGACAGGUAGUGAAAGAGACACGUAUGAAGCCCAGAAGCACAUUACAAUUGAUUUCCUAUUGAACCCUUGGGAAUUUGGGGGUUAUAAGAACUUUCGUAUAGUCCAGAAAGCCCAGAGCGUUGCAUCAGUAACUAGGCUGAGGGAAAGAGAACGGAAUUUGGGGUGGGGUUAGGAAACCUGACUUCAGUCCCCAGAUAGGCCCCUGACUCACUAUGUGAUAAUGACCAGUCACUUCCUGGCUCAGCGUUCCAGUCCCCUUCUCCCUUCUCCCCGGCCCCUGUCGCUGUCAGAAUAAAACAAAAGAAUGAUUUUCUUCUUUCUUGAGAAAGCGAAGCGUGAUUAUUUCUAUAAAAGCAAUCUGGAAAAUAGCCAAUCCCUUAGUGUAGCAAUGUGAGAGGAUUUUGUUCAUUUUAUAACCAAUGUAACCUCCUGGGGGGAACGUAAAGCCAUGAAGACCUUCUUCUUUGUUUCUGGGGAUCCUCAGAUGAGGAUGAAGUAAGUAGGUGGUCUGCUUUCCUCUUCUGUCCCUUCUGCCU